rnacentral:rRNA from 1 species
ACUGCUCAGUAACACGUGGAUAACCUGCCCUUGGGUCCGGCAUAACCCCGGGAAACUGGGGAUAAUUCCGGAUAACGCACAUAUGCUGGAAUGCUUUAUGCGUCAAAUGGAUUCGUCUGCCCAAGGAUGGGUCUGCGGCCUAUCAGGUAGUAGUGGGUGUAAUGUACCUACUAGCCGACAACGGGUACGGGUUGUGAGAGCAAGAGCCCGGAGAUGGAUUCUGAGACAUGAAUCCAGGCCCUACGGGGCGCAGCAGGCGCGAAAACUUUACAAUGCGGGAAACCGUGAUAAGGGGACACCGAGUGUCAGCAUCAUAUGCUGACUGUCCAGGUGUGUAAAAUACACCUGUUAGCAAGGGCCGGGCAAGACCGGUGCCAGCCGCCGCGGUAACACCGGCGGCCCGAGUGGUGAUCGUGAUUAUUGGGUCUAAAGGGUCCGUAGCCGGUUUGGUCAGUCCUCCGGGAAAUCUGAUAGCUCAACUAUUAGGCUAUCGGGGGAUACUGCCAGACUUGGAACCGGGAGAGGUAAGAGGUACUACAGGGGUAGGAGUGAAAUCUUGUAAUCCCUGUGGGACCACCUGUGGCGAAGGCGUCUUACCAGAACGGGUUCGACGGUGAGGGACGAAAGCUGGGGGCACGAACCGGAUUAGAUACCCGGGUAGUCCCAGCCGUAAACGAUGCUCGCUAGGUGUCAGGCAUGGCGCGACCGUGUCUGGUGCCGCAGGGAAGCCGUGAAGCGAGCCACCUGGGAAGUACGGCCGCAAGGCUGAAACUUAAAGGAAUUGGCGGGGGAGCA